CCGACGGUGAGAGAUGAAAGCUGGGGAGCAAACCGGAUUAGAUACCCGGGUAGUCCCAGCUGUAAACGAUGCGCGUUAGGUGUGUCAGUGACCACGUGUCACUGAUGUGCCGAAGGGAAACCGUGAAACGCGCCGCCUGGGGAGUACGGUCGCAAGGCUGAAACUUAAAGGAAUUGGCGGGGAGCACCACAACGGGUGGAGCCUGCGGUUUAAUCGGACUCAACGCCGGAAAUCUCACCGGAUAAGACAGCUGAAUGAUAGUCGGGAUGAAGACUCUACUUGACUAGCUGAGAGGAGGUGCAUGGCCGUCGUCAGUUCGUACUGUGAAGCAUCCUGUUUAGUCAG
rnacentral:rRNA from 1 species